rnacentral:rRNA from 1 species
GACGAACGCUGGCGGCGUGCCUAAUACAUGCAAGUAGAACGCACAGGAUGCACCGUAGUUUACUACACCGUAUUCUGUGAGUUGCGAACGGGUGAGUAACGCGUAGGUAACCUGCCUGGUAGCGGGGGAUAACUACUGGAAACGAUAGCUAAUGCCGGAUAAGAACAUUUACUGCAUGGUAGAUGUUUAAAAGGUGCAAAUGCAUCACUACCAGAUGGACCUGCGUUGUAUUAGCUAGUAGGUGAGGUAACGGCUCACCUAGGCGACGAUACAUAUCCGACCUGAGAGGGUGAUCGGCCACACUGGGACUGAGACACGGCCCAGACUCCUACGGGAGGCAGCAGUAGGGAA